rnacentral:rRNA from 1 species
GCUGAUUGCACCAACAAAUAGUUGAUGCAAUAUCGACUAUGUCGAAUAAAAUUCUGGGUAAGAUUAUGAUGAUGACAUUGUUUGCCCAUGUGUCUUGACCAAAUUACGUGCCAGCAGUCGCGGUAAUACGUAGAAGACUAGUGUUAUUCAUCUUUAAUAGGUUUAAAGGGUACCUAGACGGUAAAUCAAGCUUAGUUAGGGACUAAUUUACUAGAGUUACUUAUGAGGGGGUAUUAAAGUACUGCUGGUGUAGAGAUGAAAUUUUUUCAUACCUCUUUUCGUAUGAAAAAUAAUGGCACAGGUAUAGGCGAAAGCAUCCCCUUAUGUGAUAACUGACGUUGAAGGACGAAGGCUUUGUGUCGCGAACAGGAUUAGAUACCCCAGUAGUCAAAGCAGAAAAUGAUGAAUGUCAUAGAUUAGAUUUAAUAUCUUUUAUUCUAUAAAUGAAAGUGUAAGCAUUCCACCUCAAGAGUAAUUUGGCAACAUUGGAACUGAAAUCAUUAGACCGUUUCUGAAACCAGUAGUGAAGUAUGUUGUUUAAUUUGAUAAUCCGCAAAAAACCUUACCACAAUUUGAAUAUUUAUAUCGUUUUCCUUUUUUCAUGUGAUAAAUUAUUGGAUAAAAAAAGGAAAAAGGUAUCUUUACAAGCGUUGCACGGCUGUCUUUAGUUAAUGUCGUGAGACUAUGGUUAGUUCCAUUAAAUUAACGUAAACCCUUACUUUAUUUUUUAUAUAAAGUUGUUCCCCGCUAUAUUGGAUAUGAUAACAGGGAUUAAGACAAGUCAUCAUGGCCUAAAUAUUGUGGGCUAUAGACGUGCCACGUAAACCUAACAAAAGGAUGUGAAAUUGCGAAAUUGAGCUAAU